rnacentral:tRNA from 1 species
GAGAUAAUAGUAUAGUUUCGGUAUAUUUCUCUUUCGAAGAAAAGGCGGGUUUAUCUUA